rnacentral:rRNA from 1 species
UGCAAGUCGAGCGGAAAGGCCCUUCGGGGUACUCGAGCGGCGAACGGGUGAGUAACACGUGAGCAACCUGCCCCUGACUCUGGGAUAAGCCCGGGAAACUGGGUCUAAUACCGGAUAUGACCGCCCCUGGCAUCGGGUGGUGGUGGAAAGUUUUUCGGUUGGGGAUGGGCUCGCGGCCUAUCAGCUUGUUGGUGGGGUAGUGGCCUACCAAGGCGACGACGGGUAGCCGGCCUGAGAGGGCGACCGGCCACACUGGGACUGAGACACGGCCCAGACUCCUACGGGAGGCAGCAGUGGGGAAUAUUGCGCAAUGGGCGGAAGCCUGACGCAGCGACGCCGCGUGGGGGAUGACGGCCUUCGGGUUGUAAACCUCUUUCAGCAGGGACGAAGUUGACGUGUACCUGCAGAAGAAGCGCCGGCUAACUACGUGCCAGCAGCCCGGGUAAUUCA